rnacentral:rRNA from 1 species
UACGGAGGGUGCAAGCGUUAUCCGGAUUCACUGGGUUUAAAGGGAGCGUAGGUGGGUUGGUAAGUCAGUGGUGAAAUCCCCGAGCUUAACUUGGGAACUGCCAUUGAUACUAUCAGUCUUGAAUACUGUGGAGGCUAGCGGAAUAUGUCAUGUAGCGGUGAAAUGCUUAGAUAUGACAUAGAACACCAAUUGCGAAGGCAGCUGGCUACACGAAUAUUGACACUGAUGCACGAAAGCGUGGGGAUCAAACAGG